UACAGGGGGUGCAAACGUUGCUCGGAAUUAUUGGGCGUAAAGCGCGCGUAGGCGGCUACCUAAGUCGGAUGUGAAAGCCCCUGGCUUAACUGGGGAAGUGCACCCGAAACUGGGUAGCUAGAGUACGAAAGAGGGUCGCGGAAUUCCCGGUGUAGAGGUGAAAUUCGUAGAUAUCGGGAGGAACACCGGUGGCGAAGGCGGCGACCUGGGUCGAUACUGACGCUGAGGCGCGAAAGCGUGGGGAGCAAACAGG
rnacentral:rRNA from 1 species